rnacentral:lncRNA from 1 species
CGCCCAUCUGUUCCGACCCCAGAUUAGAGAAGGAGUUGUCACCGGUGGCAUGCUGGAGGCUUGAGCCUGCAGCAGCAUGGCUCGCCUCACUGUGGCUGGUGGCAGUGAGGUAGAGUACAGCACAGCCAAAGUGGUAGAAAGGUGGCAGAGUAGGUGAGCUAUCCAGGGACUUGUGGCGGGGGGAGAGGGGCAGUGAGCUCAGGGGCCAAGGAUUGGAUGCACUAUCGUGAACUACACUGCCCAAGGCUUUUCUGGCUUUGCCCAUCCAGUUGCUCCGUGCCAGGAGAAGGAGUAGCCACCUGCACAUGCUGGAGGCUGGAGCCAGGGACACCACGGCUUGCCUCGCUGUGGUUGGCGUGGUGGCAGCGAUGGAGACUGCAGAGUGCCAGAGAGGUAGGAGGGCGGCUGGCUGCUGCCAGGGCCAGGGCAGUGCUGCAGCGGUGGCCAGGUGGUGGGAGCCCUGUAGGGUGGGCCGGUUCAUUGAGGGCGGCAGCAGUGGUGGUUGUAUUGGCAUCGGUGCUAGUGGUGGCAGCAGUAGCAAGUCUGGGGCCUGGGAAGGCGAGUAGGAGCACUGCAGGGCCAGCCUGGGCUGGGUAGGAAGCUGCGGGUGCUGUACUGUGGACCUCUGUGGCAGCAGUAGACGUGCAGCCAGGGCAAGGAGGAGUCUUCUCUGAGGGCACCCUCCUCCUUCUGGGGCCUGAGCCAGGCGUGAGUGGCACCAUUGUGUCAUUAUUAAAGUUUGAGGGGUGACUAUUUGUGUAUCUUUUUGCUUGUUUUCUGUUGGGAUAGUCUUGGACUUUUUCAAAUUUCAUGAAUCAGGGAGGGGACAACAGGUAGAAUAGGCC